rnacentral:lncRNA from 1 species
UUGUUUGCUUUUUUAAUUCAUGUGAGGAAAUUAAGAGUGGCGUUGACUUGCCUAAGUGCGCUCAAUGGCAAAAGGACACAGAUGCCCAUGCACUGACCAGCUGCACCAUGCUGGGCUCCAUUAGCUGAUUAUUGUUGCGCUGGCCCUAGCCUUCCCUGGCGCCUACCUGUGUGUCAACAAUUACUGGGAUGCUAUAAAGCCUACCAGUCAUUGUAUUCCCCAGUACUUUCAAAUAAGAACAGAAGAAUCUGUGUAACAGGCUUAGCAGAUGCUUCAGAGCAAUAAAACAUUUUAACUAAGCAUAAUGUCCUAUACUUGACUUUAUUUUUAAAUAACAUGAUUUAUACAGGUUUCAACUGGUCAAAUUCAGUUAAAUUUAUCAGUUAAUAACCAUCAAACUUAUCUCAUGAUAAAUAAACUCAGAUAAACGAAGAUUUUUUUUCCCCCUUUCUUCAUGA